rnacentral:rRNA from 1 species
UGGGGAAUAUUGGACAAUGGGCGAAAGCCUGAUCCAGCCAUGCCGCGUGAGUGAUGAAGGCCCUAGGGUUGUAAAGCUCUUUUAGCGGGGAAGAUAAUGACGGUACCCGCAGAAUAAGCCCCGGCUAACUUCGUGCCAGCAGCCGCGGUAAUACGAAGGAGGCUAGCGUUGCUCGGAAUCACUGGGCGUAAAGGGCGCGUAGGCGGCCAUUCAAGUCGGGGGUGAAAGCCCAGGGCUCAACCCUGGAAUUGCCUUCGAUACUGUUUGGCUAGAGACCGGAAGAGGUAAGUGGAACUGCGAGUGUAGAGGUGAAAUUCGUAGAUAUUCGCAAGAACACCAGUGGCGAAGGCGGCUUACUGGUCCGGUUCUGACGCUGAGGCGCGAAAGCGUGAGGAGCAAACAGG